GAUGAACGCUGGCGGCGUGCCUAACACAUGCAAGUCGAACGAAGCGCCUUUUAAGAUUCUUCGGAUGAUUGAUCGGUGACUGAGUGGCGGACGGGUGAGUAACGCGUGGGCAACCUGCCCUGUACAGGGGGAUAACAGUUGGAAACGGCUGCUAAUACCGCAUAAGCGCACGAGAGGACAUCCUCUUGUGUGAAAAACUCCGGUGGUACAGGAUGGGCCCGCGUCUGAUUAGCUGGUUGGCAGGGUAACGGCCUACCAAGGCGACGAUCAGUAGCCGGUCUGAGAGGAUGAACGGCCACAUUGGAACUGAGACACGGUCCAAACUCCUACGGGAGGCAGCAGUGGGGAAUAUUGCACAAUGGGGGAAACCCUGAUGCAGCAACGCCGCGUGAGUGAAGAAGUAUUUCGGUAUGUAAAGCUCUAUCAGCAGGGAAGAUAAUGACGGUACCUGACUAAGAAGCUCCGGCUAAAUACGUGCCAGCCGCCGCCGUAA
rnacentral:rRNA from 1 species